CCUACGGGUGGCUGCAGUGAGGAAUAUUGGUCAAUGGACGCAAGUCUGAACCAGCCAUGCCGCGUGCAGGAAGACGGCUCUAUGAGUUGUAAACUGCUUUUGUACGAGGGUAAACGCAGAUACGUGUAUCUGUCUGAAAGUAUCUUACGAAUAAGGAUCGGCUAACUCCGUGCCAGCAGCCGCGGUAAUACGGAGGAUUCAAGCGUUAUCCGGAUUUAUUGGGUUUAAAGGGUGCGUAGGCGGUCGGAUAAGUUAGGGGUGAAAUCCCGAGGCUCAACUUCGGAAUUGCCUGUGAUACUGGUAGGCUAGAGAGUAGUUGCGGUAGGCGGAAUGUAUGGUGUAGCGGUGAAAUGCUUAGAGAUCAUACAGAACACCGAUUGCGAAGGCAGCUAACCAAGAUAAUUCUGACGUUGAGGCACGAAAGCGUGGGGAGCAAACAGGAUUAGAUACCCGUGUAGUC
rnacentral:rRNA from 1 species